rnacentral:ncRNA from 1 species
ACGGGGAGCUGCCUAGCGGCUGAGAGGGCUUCGUGCCGACCCGCUGAACCUGACGGAUAAUGCCGGCGUAGGGACUUAUACU